UACGUAGGGUGCGAGCGUUGUUCGGAAUUACUGGGCGUAAAGCGCACGUAGGCGGCUUUGUAAGUUAGAGGUGAAAGCCCGGAGCUCAACUCCGGAAUUGCCUUUAAGACUGCAUCGCUAGAAUUGUGGAGAGGUAAGUGGAAUUCCGAGUGUAGAGGUGAAAUUCGUAGAUAUUCGGAAGAACACCAGUGGCGAAGGCGACUUACUGGACACAUAUUGACGCUGAGGUGCGAAAGCGUGGGGAGCAAACAGG
rnacentral:rRNA from 1 species